rnacentral:snRNA from 1 species
GUUUUUGCUUCUACAGUUCACAUACUAAAAUUAGACAAAUACAGAAAAGAUGAGCAUGGCCAGUAGUCAAGAAUGACAUAUAAAUUUGUGAUGUACUGUAUGUUAUU